UGGGGGAUAUUGCACAAUGGGCGAAAGCCUGAUGCAGCGACGCCGCGUGGGGGAUGAAGGCCUUCGGGUUGUAAACUUCUUUUGCUCUGAACAAGGCGCACCAUGGGGCGUGUUGAGUGUAGGGGUUGAUUAGCGCCGGCUAACUACGUGCCAGCAGCCGCGGUAAUACGUAGGGCGCGAGCGUUGUCCGGAAUUAUUGGGCGUAAAGGGCUUGUAGGUGGCUGGUUGCGUCUGUCGUGAAAGCUCAUGGCUUAACUGUGGGUUUGCGGUGGGUACGGGCUGGCUUGGGUGCAGUAGGGGAGGCUGGAAUUCCUGGUGUAGCGGUGGAAUGCGCAGAUAUCAGGAGGAAUACCGGUGGCGAAGGCGGGUCUCUGGGCUGUUACUGACACUGAGGAGCGAAAGCAUAGGGGGCGAACAGG
rnacentral:rRNA from 1 species